AUUGAACGCUGGCGGCAGGCCUAACACAUGCAAGUCGAGCGGAUGAAGGGAGCUUGCUCCUGGAUUCAGCGGCGGACGGGUGAGUAAUGCCUAGGAAUCUGCCUUGUAGAGGGGGAUAACGUCCGGAAACGGGCGCUAAUACCGCAUACGUCCUGAGGUAGAAAGUGGGGGAUCUUCGGACCUCACGCUAUCAGAUGAGCCUAGGUCGGAUUAGCUAGUUGGUGGGGUAAAGGCCUACCAAGGCGACGAUCCGUAACUGGUCUGAGAGGAUGAUCAGUCACACUGGAACUGAGACACGGUCCAGACUCCUACGGGAGGCAGCAGUAGGGAAUCUUGGGCAAUGGGCGAAAGCCUGAUGCAGCCAUGCCGCGUGUGUGAAGAAGGUCUUCGGAUUGUAAAGCACUUUAAGUUGGGAGGAAGGGCAGUAAGUUAAUACCUUGCUGUUUUGACGUUACCUACAGAAUAAGCACCGGCUAACUUCGUG
rnacentral:rRNA from 1 species